CUUCCUUCCUUUUCAAUAAUUAGUUAACCUUUUUUCUUUUUGGUCACGUUCACCGUUUCAUCUUUUAAAAUCAGUUCAUGAUAUAUCUCAACUCACCAUCUCUCCCUCCGGACCCACCAAAAAGUGGAUUGUAAUUGCAAACAAAUCUUGUAACUUUUAGUAACCUCUCAAACUUCAAAAGUCUUAAACCGGCUACAUUUGUCGCUACCGGCCCUG
rnacentral:lncRNA from 1 species